rnacentral:lncRNA from 1 species
CCAGAGUCUACACUCUGGCCUCCUUAAUCCCGAGGGAAAAUGUCAAUUGACAUUUAUCAUUUAGCUUGAGCAGCUGUUUUUCCUCUAGCACAGACAUUUUAGUCCCUACCCACAUGUUUACUCCAAAGUGGGCAAACAAAGAGACAGCCAGAGCCUUGUUUUUCUCACCCCCCAAGUGCUGUGACGGCGUUUGCAUUUCCUGCUUUGCUCAGGCCGGCGGCUGAGUUUGCAACCUUUGCUAUUGACAAAGACUCUGGUCUCCCUCCCUGCCUUCUCUCCCCCUCACCUCUUUCUCCAUUGUACCCUCUCCUCCCACCUUCGGUUCACUUGAAGACUAGUGUUUAUGGCAUUGCUGUGAGGCUGAAUAACUUCAGGACCACUGAAUCCUCAAUCUUCAGAAAAGAUUCAACCAACUGUGAAUCCCGUGCUAUGUUUACCAUCAGAGGUUGGUGAAGCUGCAGAUGUGGAACCACUGGAUACAGAGAGCUGACUAUGGAACUUGAGCAUCAUCAGAUUUUGUAUCUGCUGUGGGUCCUGGAACCAAUCCCCUAAGGCUACCAAGGUACGACUGUAUCAUAAAAUAGUGAUGAGAAAUGCUGACUUAUCUUGAGAAGAACUUAAGUAUUCAGCCAAGUGCCGUCUCUCAUCAUGGACUCAUAGGAUCCAAGCUUCCAGUUGUUGCAGGAAUUGAAAGUUGAUGUGAUAAAGUCCCAAUGCUGUAACGGAAAUAGUAUUCCAAAAAGUGAGAGAAGUUGAGGACUACCUCAAGAUGCAAACAUGAAAGAUUUGUCACAAUUUACUUAUUCUUUGCUUUCUUUUAGGGAUGGAACAAGAUUAAAGGUCAACCCAUGAAGAAAAUAAUAUAGUUGGCUUCCUCCCUCAUCCAAUUCCAUGUUUUCAUUUCCCACAUUAAACAUUUUUGACAUUUAUAUUCACAUGGAAUUGAUUUUGAGAAUAAAGAGACCAUUCUAAUCAUACUGUAUUCCAAAUGGUUAGAACCAAUAUACCAUUUAUGUAAUAAAGCUUUCUAUUUCCACUAGUUUGAAAUUCGUAUUAUACCAUAUACCUCUUGACCUAAAACAAAUAGGCUGCCAGUUAUUUCUCCAGCAAA